GACGAACCGAGCGAACGUUGUUCGGAAUCACUGGGCUUAAAGGGCGCGUAGGCGGGCGGCCGCGUCCGGGGUGAAAUCCUCCCGCCCAACGGGAGAACGGCCUCGGAUACGGGCGGCCUCGAGGGGGGUAGGGGCAGGCGGAACUGUGGGUGGAGCGGUGAAAUGCGUUGAGAUCCACAGGAACUCCGGUGGCGAAGGCGGCCUGCUGGACCCCUCCUGACGCUGAGGCGCGAAAGCGUGGGGAGCAAACAGG
rnacentral:rRNA from 1 species